rnacentral:rRNA from 1 species
UACGAAGGGGGCUAGCGUUGCUCGGAAUGACUGGGCGUAAAGGGCGCGUAGGCGGUUUGUACAGUCAGGUGUGAAAUUCCCGGGCUCAACCUGGGGGCUGCACUUGAUACGUAUGGACUGGAGUGGGGAAGAGGGUCGUGGAAUUCCCAGUGUAGAGGUGAAAUUCGUAGAUAUUGGGAAGAACACCGAUGGCGAAGGCAGUCUUCUGGGCCAAUACUGACGCUGAUGAACGAAAGCGUGGGGAGCAAACAGG